rnacentral:tRNA from 1 species
UAAGCGGAAGCCAAUAAUUAGGCAUCUAGCUGUUAAUUAGACCUAAGCCACGCAUAGUGGCCCGCUUAA